AUGAAAUGAAAAUAUUAUACAUUGCUUUUUCACAUUAAUAACAGUGGUCACGCUUGCUAGUCUGCACUAUUUUUAUUUUACAAGCUCUUGUCUCUCUAGGCUAGGUGGAGUGUUGCAUUAAAGGUUUGGUGUUCCGUCAAGAGAUGUGUGCUCCGGGGAGCCUAGAGUGAGGCGUAGGUAUGGGAAACAGAUGGUGUUCUUAUAUUUAAGUUAUAUCAUGCGUGCGCGUUUGUACUUCACAGGGACUAGGUGCCAUGAAGUGGCAAUGUACUGUAGGGUAAGACAUAGCGAGUUACAAGGUUGUGAACACCAGGUGGUUUUAUUGCAAGGCUUGUCUGCCCCUCGCCUUGCUGAGUAUUGUGCCCCUGACCUAGGGGUGUUGGGAUGGAUAGGGAGGGCAUGGGUGAGAAAGGGGGGAGAGAGGGGGUGAUAUCCCACCUGGAAAGGUGUGGGAGUGUAACUAUACUUGAAU